UACGUAGGGGGCAAGCGUUGUCCGGAUUUAUUGGGCGUAAAGAGCGUGUAGGCGGCCAUGUAGGUCCGUUGUGAAAACUCGAGGCUCAACCUCGAGACGCCGAUGGAAACCAUGUGGCUAGAGUCCGGAAGAGGAGAGUGGAAUUCCUGGUGUAGCGGUGAAAUGCGCAGAUAUCAGGAAGAACACCCGUGGCUAAGGCGGC
rnacentral:rRNA from 1 species